UUGGGUUAAGUCCGUACGAGCGCAACCCUUGUCCUUAGUUACCAGCACGUUAUGGUGGGCACUCUAAGGAGACUGCCGGUGACAACCGGAGGAAGGUGGGGAUGACGUCAAGUCAUCAUGGCCCUUACGGCCUGGGCUACACACGUGCUACAAUGGUCGGUACAAAGGGUUGCCAAGCCGCGAGGUGGAGCUAAUCCCAUAAAACCGAUCGUAGUCCGGAUCGCAGUCUGCAACUCGACUGCGUGAAGUCGGAAUCGCUAGUAAUCGUGAAUCAGAAUGUCACGGUGAAUACGUUCCCGGGCCUU
rnacentral:rRNA from 1 species